UUCUGCUUCUGCAAUUACGACCACCUCAUAUUGAUGGCCAGUCAGUUCUGAAUUCUUUGACAGUGUCAGAACUUAAUUCAUGUGUUCUCAAAUUCCCAUCCGCAGUAAAAUUCUAAGUCAGUCCCUUCCAUUAAAUGUUUUUUUCUUAUAUUUUAGUAACUCAUAUCUGUUUUUAAGAAGGUACCGUGUUGAGAUUAAUGUAUCAGAUACGUCAGACUCUGAUGUGUUCGCUCCUCUCAUACAGACAUGGAAUUGCACAUCCAAUUUAUACGUCUCAAGGGUCACAAAACCUGAGGGUUUGUGUUAGGAAAGAGUGUGCUAAAAGAAGCUGUUGGAUUGGAAAAGGAUGACAAGGGAACAAAGGAAGAUAGAAUCAAUGAAGAUAGCAAUUUUAAUGGAAUAGUUUUGUGGUGACAAAGCCAGGACAGGCUGCUCUCUUGACCAAAUUGUGAUACACAACAAAUGUAAGAUUCUGAUAAUUCUCAUGUACUAAAUUUUUGUCAUCAGGAAGAAUGCUUUUCAUUACUCCUCACAAUGACUACGCUGAGAAAGAUCGUGUAACCCUCAAAUUAAUAUACUUUCCUAAUUGCAGGCUUGAGAUUUUGUUUCCAUUGUAAGCAUACCAAUAAUGGUUUGAAGCAAUUUAUUAAAGUAUUAACUACUGAUGCAUUCUCUUCAGUUGUUUCGUGCAGACUAUUACGUCAGAUGAUCAGAGAAACAACAGCUCACAUGUGAAAACUGAUACAGAGAGAAAUGUCUCACCAAUGCAUUUUUGGAGGCUCCUUUUGCACAUACAUCUCAACCUUGG
rnacentral:lncRNA from 1 species